rnacentral:rRNA from 1 species
AACAAACGCUGGCGGCGUGCCUAAUACAUGCAAGUCGAGCGGAAAGGCCACUUCGGUGGUACUCGAGCGGCGAACGGGUGAGUAACACGUGAGUAAUCUGCCCCUCACUUCGGGAUAGCCACCGGAAACGGUGAUUAAUACCGGAUAUGACGUGCCCUCGCAUGGGGGUGUGUGGAAAGUUUUUUCGGUGGGGGAUGUGCUCGCGGCCUAUCAGCUUGAUGGUGGGGUAAUGGCCUACCAUGGCUUCGACGGGUAGCCGGCCUGAGAGGGUGACCGGCCACACUGGGACUGAGACACGGCCCAGACUCCUACGGGAGGCAGCAGUGGGGAAUAUUGGACAAUGGGCGGAAGCCUGAUCCAGCAACGCCGCGUGAGGGAUGACGGCCUUCGGGUUGUAAACCUCUUUCAGUACCGACGAAGCGAAAGUGACGGUAGGUACAGAAGAAGCACCGGCCAACUACGUGCCAGCAGCCGCCGCAGUAA